rnacentral:piRNA from 1 species
UGCUCAAACCUCACACAGAGGCUUCAGG